rnacentral:rRNA from 1 species
AUUGAACGCUGGCGGCAGGCCUAACACAUGCAAGUCGAACGGUAACAGGAAGCAGCUUGCUGCUUUGCUGACGAGUGGCGGACGGGUGAGUAAUGUCUGGGAAACUGCCCGAUGGAGGGGGAUAACUACUGGAAACGGUAGCUAAUACCGCAUAACGUCGCAAGACCAAAGAGGGGGACCUUAGGGCCUCUUGCCAUCGGAUGUGCCCAGAUGGGAUUAGCUAGUAGGUGGGGUAACGGCUCACCUAGGCGACGAUCCCUAGCUGGUCUGAGAGGAUGACCAGCCACACUGGAACGGAGACACGGUCCAGACUCCUACGGGAGGCAGCAGUGGGGAAUAUUGCACAGUGGGCGCAAGCCUGAUGCAGCCAUGCCGCGUGUAUGAAGAAGGCCUUCGGGUUGUAAAGUACUUUCAGCGGGGAGGAAGGGAGUAAAGUUAAUACCUUUGCUCAUUGACGUUACCCGCAGAAGAAGCACCGGCUAACUCCGUG